AAAAACAUGUCUUUUUGAUAAUAAUUUAAAGUCUAAUCUGCCCACUGAUUUAUUAAAGGGCUGCAGUAUAUUAACUGUACAAAGGUAGCAUAAUCAUUAGUUUUUUAAUUGAAAACUUGUAUGAAAGAUUUGAUGAAAUAUUAACUGUCUCUUAAUUAUUAAUAAAACUUUAUUUUUUAGUUAAAAAGCUAAAAUAAAUUUAAAAGACGAGAAGACCCUAUAGAGUUUUAUAUUUGAAUUUUAUUUUAAAUAUAUAUAUAAAUUAAUAUUAAUAAAAUUAAAUAUUAUAUUGGGGUGAUAGAAAAAUUUAAUUAACUUUUUUUAAAUAAUAAACAUAAAUAAGUGAAUAAAUGAUCCAUUUAUAAUGAUUAUAAGAAAAAAUUACCUUAGGGAUAACAGCGUAAUAUUUUUUUUUAGUACAUAUAAAAAAAAAAGAUUGCGACCUCGAUGUUGGAUUAAGAUAAAAUUUAAAUGCAAAAGUUUAAAAUUUUGAUCUGUUCGAUCAUUAAAAUCUUAC
rnacentral:rRNA from 1 species